rnacentral:rRNA from 1 species
UAGCUGCGAGUAGAAGCGGGAAGAGCUCAAAUUUUGAAUCUGGCAGUCUUUGGCUGUCCGAGUUGUAAUCUAGAGAAGUGUUUUCCGCGCUGGACCGUGUAAAAGUCUCCUGGAAGGGAGCGUCAUAGAGGGUGAGAAUCCCGUCUCUGACACGGACUACCAGUGCUAUGUGAUGCGCUCUCAACGAGUCGAGUUGUUUGGGAAUGCAGCUCAAAAUGGGUGGUAAAUUCCAUCUAAAGCUAAAUACAGGCGAGAGACCGAUAGCGAACAAGUACCGUGAGGGAAAGAUGAAAAGAACUUUGGAAAGAGAGUUAAACAGUACGUGAAAUUGCUGAAAGGGAAACGCUUGAUGUCAGUCACAUCAACUAGGGAUCAACCUUGCUUUGUGGCUGGGUGCAUUUCCUGGUCGAUGGGUCAGCAUCAGUUUUGGUUGCUGUACAAUGAUAAAGGGAAUGUGGCACUCUUUGGAGUGUGUUAUAGCCUUUCAUCGUAUGCAGUGGUCGGAACUGAGGAACUCGGCACGACUUCCGGGUUUGUGUCUAGGAUGCUGGCAUAAUGGCCUUAAGCGACCCGUCUUGAAACACGGACCAAGGAGUCUAACAUGCCUGCGAGUGUUUGGGUGGUAAACCCGGGUGCGUAAUGAAAGUGAAAGUCGAGACCUCUGUCAUGGAGGGCACCGACGCCCGGACCUGAGUCUUUGACGACGGAUCUGCGGUAGAGCAUGUAUGUUGGGACCCGAAAGAUGGUGAACUAUGCCUGAAUAGGGUGAAGCCAGAGGAAACUCUGGUGGAGGCUCGUAGCGAUUCUGACGUGCAAAUCGAUCGUCGAAUUUGGGUAAAGGGGCGAAAGACUAAUCGAACCAUCUAGUAGCUGG